CUCAUGCCUCCGUCUCUCCCCAAGGGUGUUUGACAGACUGUGCCUGGAACCAGAGGGAAAAGAAUUCUUCACCAUUAUAGGUACAAGAUGUGGUUCCCUGUGCUAUAAAUUUUUCAAGGAAUCUCCAUGCUGUUUUCCAUAGUGGCUGUACCAACGUAAUUCCCGUCAACAGUGUAGGAGGGGUCAUUCAUUCUUGAUUUUGUAAUUUUCACACUUGGGAUUCCCAUCUGUCUACAAUCCCAUUUUUACAAAUGAAGACACCAGCUUGAGAGAUAUAGACAUGCACAUGUCUGAGCAUAAAAUAUAAGUGGCCAAAAAGCAUAUGAAAAGCAUCAGUCUUUUCCAAAGAGUCAACUCUUCGCAUGAGGUGGCCAAAGUACUGGAGUUUCAGCUUUAGCAUCAUUCCUUCCAAAGAAAUCCCAGGGCUGAUCUCCUUCAGAAUGGACUGGUUGGAUCUCCUUGAAGUCCAAGGGACUCUCAAGAGUCUUCUCCAAGCAUCACUGACUCGAUGGACAUGAGUCUGAGUGAAAUCCAGGAGUUGGUGAUGGACAGGGAGACCUGGCGUGCUGUGAUUCAUGGGGUCACAAAGAGUUGGACACAACUGAGCGACUGAACUGAACUGACUGACUGAACUGAAGCACUUAAUAAACAUGAGCUGAGGGAUUUCCCUGGUGGCUCAGUGGUAAAGAAUCUGCCUGUCAAUGCAGGAGACAUGGGUUCCAUCUCCGGUCUGAGAGGAUCCCACAUGCCACAGAGCAACUAAUCCUGUGUACCUGCACCACAACUAAGGAGCCUGUGCUCUAGAGCCUGGGAACCACAACUACUGACCCCAUGUGCCUCAGUUACUGAAAUGUGUGCCCUAGAGCCCAUGCUCUGCAACAAGAGAAGCCCCUGAAAUGAGAUGCCUGCUUACCUCAACUAGAGAGUAGCCUGCACAGCAACAAAGACACAAUAC
ensembl:lncRNA